UACCUUUGUUGCCUCGGCAGUAGUUGCUGGGCGAGCCUACCCGGGAACGAGCUACCCUGUAGCGAGUUACCCUGGAACGACUUACCCUGUAACGCCUGCCGGUGGACUACUAAACUCUUGUUAUUUUUAAGUAAUCUGAGCGUCUUAUUUUAAUAAGUCAAAACUUUCAACAACGGAUCUCUUGGUUCUGGCAUCGAUGAAGAACGCAGCGAAAUGCGAUAAGUAAUGUGAAUUGCAGAAUUCAGUGAAUCAUCGAAUCUUUGAACGCACAUUGCGCCCAUUAGUAUUCUAGUGGGCAUGCCUGUUCGAGCGUCAUUUCAACCCUUAAGCCUAGCUUAGUAUUGGGAAUCGACUUUACUGUCGUUCCUCAAAUUCAACGGCGGAUUUAUAGCAAUCUCUGAACGUAGUAAUUUUUUUCCUCGUUUUUGAAAUACUAUAAACCUCAGCCGCUAAACCCCCAAUUUUUCUAUGGUUGACCUCGGAUCAGGUAGGAAUACCCGCUGAACUUAAGCAUAC
rnacentral:rRNA from 1 species